rnacentral:rRNA from 1 species
UACGGGGGGAGCAAGCGUUGUUCGGAUUUACUGGGCGUAAAGGGCGCGUAGGCGGCCAGCACAAGUCAGUUGUGAAAUCUCCGAGCUUAACUCGGAAAGGUCAACUGAUACUGUGCGGCUAGAGUGCAGAAGGGGCAACUGGAAUUCUUGGUGUAGCGGUGAAAUGCGUAGAUAUCAAGAGGACCACCUGCGGCGAAGGCGGGUUGCUGGGCUGACACUGACGCUGAGGCGCGAAAGCUAGGGGAGCGAACGGG